AUUGAACGCUGGCGGCAUGCUUUACACAUGCAAGUCGAACGGUAACAGGCCGCAAGGUGCUGACGAGUGGCGAACGGGUGAGUAAUGCAUCGGAACGUGCCCAGUCGUGGGGGAUAACGCAGCGAAAGCUGUGCUAACACCGCAUACGAUCUAUGGAUGAAAGCGGGGGACCGUAAGGCCUCGCGCGAUUGGAGCGGCCGAUGUCAGAUUAGGUAGUUGGUGGGGUAAAGGCUCACCAAGCCAACGAUCUGUAGCUGGUCUGAGAGGACGACCAGCCACACUGGGACUGAGACACGGCCCAGACUCCUACGGGAGGCAGCAGUGGGGAAUUUUGGACAAUGGGCGCAAGCCUGAUCCAGCAAUGCCGCGUGCAGGAAGAAGGCCUUCGGGUUGUAAACUGCUUUUGUACGGAACGAAACGGUCUGGGUUAAUACCCUGGGCUAAUGACGGUACCGUAAGAAUAAGCACCGGCUAACUACGUGCCAGCAGCCGCCGUAA
rnacentral:rRNA from 1 species